rnacentral:rRNA from 1 species
CCUACGGGCGGCAGCAGUGGGGAAUAUUGGACAAUGGGCGAAAGCCUGAUCCAGCCAUGCCGCGUGUGUGAAGAAGGCCUUCGGGUUGUAAAGCACUUUCAGUGGGGAAGAAAGCCUUGGGGCUAAUACCCUCGAGGAAGGACAUCACCCACAGAAGAAGCACCGGCUAACUCCGUGCACAGCAGCCGCGGUAAUACGGAGGGUGCGAGCGUUAAUCGGAAUUACUGGGCGUAAAGCGCGCGUAGGCGGUCUGAUAAGCCGGUUGUGAAAGCCCCGGGCUCAACCUGGGAACGGCAUCCGGAACUGUCAGGCUAGAGUGCAGGAGAGGAAGGUAGAAUUCCCGGUGUAGCGGUGAAAUGCGUAGAGAUCGGGAGGAAUACCAGUGGCGAAGGCGGCCUUCUGGACUGACACUGACGCUGAGGUGCGAAAGCGUGGGUAGCAAACAGGAUUAGAUACCCGUGUAGUC